rnacentral:piRNA from 1 species
AGCAAAAAGUGGAAGCCAUGAUUAAGAAC